rnacentral:rRNA from 1 species
UACAGAGGGGGCAAGCGUUGUUCGGAAUUACUGGGCGUAAAGGGCGCGUAGGUGGCCUUCUAAGUUGAACGUGAAAUCCCUCAGCUUAACUGGGGAACUGCGUGUGAUACUGGAUGGCUUGGAUUUGGGAGAGGGAUGCGGAAUUCCAGGUGUAGCGGUGAAAUGCGUAGAUAUCCGGAGGAACACCAGUGGCGAAGGCGACUUUCUGGCCUGUUCUUGACGCUGAGGCGCGAAAGCUAGGGGAGCAAACGGG